CAGUAGCCGCGGUAAUACGGAGGGAGCUAGCGUUGUUCGGAAUUACUGGGCGUAAAGCGCACGUAGGCGGUUAUUCAAGUCAGAGGUGAAAGCCCGGGGCUCAACCCCAGAACUGCCUUUGAAACUAGAUGACUGGAAUCUUGGAGAGGUCAGUGGAAUUCCGAGUGUAGAGGUGAAAUUCGUAGAUAUUCGGAAGAACACCAGUGGCGAAGGCGACUGACUGGACAAGUAUUGACGCUGAGGUGCGAAAGCGUGGGGAGCAAACAGGAUUAGAUACCCCUGUAGUCCCUGUCUCUUAUAC
rnacentral:rRNA from 1 species